GAGGGUCAGGCCCGCCUGACUAUUGCUGUCCUUGGUCAGGGAAUGAUACUUUAGUAACUAGUAGAAGGAGCAGCGUCACUUCUGAGAGGUUUUCUCUUCUCUUGCUCGAGUUUGGUGAGAUUUAUUUCGAAGACUUUAGUGCUGACUAUUAUCCAGCCACUUCCAGUGACCGUGAAGCAAUUGAGAGGUAAAGAGAGAAUGAAACAGACCAAUGAAUGAAGAGUACUAAUAUGAUACACUUUGAACUAUACAUCAUUCAUGUCUAUAGUAUCUAUCAUUCUAUCCAUACAUGAUAUUUGGCUGCCAUUU